GAAAUGCGAUAAGUAGUGUGAAUUGCAGAAUUCAGUGAAUCAUCGAAUCUUUGAACGCACAUUGCGCCCUUUGGUAUUCCAAAGGGCAUGCCUGUUCGAGCGUCAUUUGUACCCUCAAGCUUUGCUUGUUGUUGGGCGUCUUGUCUCCAGUUCGCUGGAGACUCGCCUUAAAGUAAUUGGCAGCCGGCCUACUGGUUUCGGAGCGCAGCACAAGUCGCGCUCUCUUCCAGCCAAGGUCAGCAUCCACAAAGCCUUUUUUCAACUUUUGACCUCGGAUCAGGUAGGGAUACCCGCUGAACUUAAGC
rnacentral:misc_RNA from 1 species